UUGGAGUUCUGAUUUACUCGCCUUCUCCCGGCAUUCGUUUUUCGAGUCCUGAUGAUUUUUAGUCGCCUUCUCCCAGGUUCAUUCAGAAGCGGUUAUCUUUACCAAACUCCAACUCAAAUUCUUCAUAGAAUCUGUCAAAAACAAAAUUAGGAAGACUUAACAAAUGGAGAAGCUUCACUAUUGGUCUUCAAUGGAAGAACUAGGGCUUAAUAUUAUUGGAAUAUCCUUUCAAAAAGAAGAAAUUAGAGAAAGAUGAUGAAAUCUCAGCAAUGGUGGUUGUGGGGUUUUAGCAAUUGCUGGGUGUUGUUCAAGGAAGUGGUGGUGAUAAUCAUCAUAAUUUUCAGAGUUGGUGGAAGAAUGGAAGAAUCAAUUCAGAUUAGAAAACCAGAUCAGCCAUUAUACCUGGUGAUGGGAAUUAAGGAAAAAUUAUCUUAAUAGGAGAAAGGGUAUCUAUAAUUUUGGAGAUAACGCAUUAGAGUGUGGUCAAUGUAGAAAGCAAUAGCGCAGAAAUGUGGUCUUCAUUUUGAGGAUGCAGAAUCAAACGAAAGGGCGUCGCGGUCGUGGAAUUCUCCUCUCCUGGCAUGGAGGUGCAGAUUCACAUGGGAUCAUGUUUCUGAAAAGCUUUAAGGUGUUGGAUUGGAUAGUUUUGUUGGAGCUGUCCGUGCAACUUUGAAGGAUAAUGUCAUGGGAGUGUUUUUGGUGCCUGUGCAGGAUUAUAUAAGCAUUCAAACUCUUUAGCCGGAACUUUAGAUUUUUUUAUGGCAAGGUUUCAGUCACGACAACUGUGUACUUAUUCCUUAACUGCAUAAGGUUAGUUUUCAUGGAAAGAGAUAAGAAGGCUGUGUGGUGAUAAUAACGACAUAGGCAGUGAGUACAAUCAAAGAGUGACUGAAGUUACUUGUGAAGUUUUUCGAAAAUGCUUUAUAGCCCCCGCUUUUGUGAGGUGUCAGAAAAAGUGCUCUGAGAAUGGGAACAUCAAAAUGCAACGUUGUGAUUACUACUGCAAGAGAUCAAAUUUAUGGAGAACAAACUGCAUUUAAAGUUGCUUUGUACAGUAAUUUUUUUGAAUUUUCUUCUGCUACUGACUAAUUUGUACAAUAAUUCUCCCUGAUAAAUUUUUCAUGGAAAAUUUCAAAGAGAUUAGUCUAGUUAUGUGUUUAUCUUUUUUAUGUUAUAAUAACGAUCAUUGU